GAGUUUGAUCCUGGCUCAGAUUGAACGCUGGCGGCAGGCCUAACACAUGCAAGUCGAGCGGAAACGAGUUAACUGAACCUUCGGGGAACGUUAACGGCGUCGAGCGGCGGACGGGUGAGUAAUGCCUGGGAAUUGCCCUGAUGUGGGGGAUAACCAUUGGAAACGAUGGCUAAUACCGCAUAAUAGCUUCGGCUCAAAGAGGGGGACCUUCGGGCCUCUCGCGUCAGGAUAUGCCCAGGUGGGAUUAGCUAGUUGUGAGGUAAGGGCUCACCAAGGCGACGAUCCCUAGCUGGUCUGAGAGGAUGAUCAGCCACACUGGAACUGAGACACGGUCCAGACUCCUACGGGAGGCAGCAGUGGGGAAUAUUGCACAAUGGGCGCAGCUGUAUGCAGCCAUGCCGCGUGUAUGAAGAAGGCCUUCGGGUUGUAAAGUACUUUCAGCAGUGAGGAAGGUGGUAGUGUUAAUAGCACUAUCAUUUGACGUUAGCUGCAGAAGAAGCACCGGCUACUCCGUGCCAGCAGCCGCGGUAAUACGGAGGGUGCGAGCGUUAAUCGGAAUUACUGGGCGUAAAGCGCAUGCAGGUGGUUUGUUAAGUCAGAUGUGAAAGCCCGGGGCUCAACCUCGGAAUUGCAUUGAAACUGGCAGACUAGAGUACUGUAGAGGGGGGUAGAAUUUCAGGUGUAGCGGUGAAAUGCGUAGAGAUC
rnacentral:rRNA from 1 species